ACAUAUUACACACAUUAAAAAAAAAACAACUAAUAAUAUGUAUAUGUUAUAUAUUAAACUGUAUAUAGUAUGUUAAUAUAUUGCUGUUUGCGACGAAUUAUUUUAUUAGCUAAUUAAUUAUGUCAAAUUAUUUUAUUAGCUUGAUUAGAGAUCACACGACAAUAAAAAAAAUGACCUGUAAUGAUCUUUAAAAUAGAUAAAUGUUAAAGUGUGACUUCUAAAAGCACAAGUGGUCCAUGUUUGAGUCUCCAAAUACUGUGAUCUUAAAUUGGCUGGAGACAAGUUUCAUCAAAAGCUAACAACUUUCGGUAGCAUAAAGUGGGCGUGUCUAGCGUUAUGCAAAUAUGGAGCAACUUGGUGCAUCGGAUAUCAAUGAAGAUGAAGACUGUAGCUCAUACACUGCUUCUUCUUCCUCUCGUAUCAUCAUCUGGCAACCAGUAGUAGGAAUUUCUACUGGCAACUUCAUAGUACAGCAACUCUGAGUGAUAAAACUGCUUUGUGUGUGAACUCAUUCAUAUGAAGUAUUUAAUAUUGUUUUAACGGUGUAUCUUUCCUUUAAGGUUCCCUUUUCUUUUUUGUGACAUUUUUAGCAAACCCGUAUGAAUAAAAGUAACUUCUAGACAUUUUCGACAAACUCUGUGGUCUAUGGAUGCACUUACCUCGACCAAACCAUUAUACAAAAUAGGGGAACACAAACUUCAGUUGCAAACCAUGAAUAGGCCUACAUUUCUGAACAUUAUCAUUUAAUCAAAUAGACACAUUUUAAACAGGUUUAUCCUGAAUUUCAGUGAAUUAUUAAAACCUUCUGGACCUCUGAACAGGCUUGGGUAUCAAAUCAGCUUCUCUGGUUCCCCUUCCCUAGCUCCAGUAAAACUCUUUCCCAUACAUAGUGUGCCGGGACGAUGAACCUCCCAAUACACAAACACAAUAAAAAUUACGGGGUAUUUAAUGUUGUUGCAAGUCGAAAUCUUUAACAAUUUACUAUUAAUCAUGGAGGCUAUGGUUUACAUGCUCAGGGUUAUUCUACGUCAUCUGCAAAAUUUUGUACAUUGGUUCAUGAAAAGACGUUUUUUAAAAGUCGUAUUUGACACGAAUGGCCUUCCAUAACCGUUCCGUUCAGUUGCAUACAAUUCAGACCACCAGGGGUCAGUAUUGAGCUUGUAAUAUAUAUUCUUUUAUUUUUCUUUUUACUGAAAGUUGACCAACUGUGAUAUUUGCUAUUAUGCAGCCCCCCAAAAUGUUCUUUAGAUCGGUGCCAUGGACAGGUUUUUAUCAUCUGACACACCAGACAAAUUUUCGCAAAAUGAGCCAUCAAUCGUGGACUAAUGGUGGCGUCAGGCUGGUGCUUUAGAAUGUCUUCUAAAGCUUUUUAAAGCCUGGGUGCAGCAAUCGUUUAAAUGGACGUUUUAGGGGUCAUUUAUCUUGAAGAUUUAAAUCCAGUCAAAUGUCCACAUUACAGCCACCAUAAAUACACAUGGAGUGAAAGCAGUGCAGAGAUUACGCUUGUGCCAAGACCACUGCUGAGUUUUUAUCCGUUUUAGGGUUCAGAAUGGUGUUAGGAAACAAAGUACAUGGGUUAUACAGGAGAUUAUUCUUUUUAUAUACACUAUAUGGCCAAAGGUUUUGAGACGUCUGUCUUUACAUGUACAUGAAUGUAAUAUGGAUUUCUCCCGCCCUUUGUAGCUAUAACAGCUUCAGCUCUUCUGGGAAGACUUUCCACAACGUUUAGGAGUGUGUUAAUGGGAAUUUUUGACCAUUCCUCUAGAAGCACAUUUGUGAGGUCAGACACUGAUGUUGGACGAGAAGGCCUGGCUCGCAGUCUCCGCCCUAACUUAUCCCAAAGCUUUCUCAGAGAUUUAUCUGGCAUAAGGAGUCUCCAGUGUGUCUCCGGAGUCUCUGUAUCAGCCAGUGGGUGCCAAUAAUUUUGAACCUGCCUGAAUUUUCACUCAGCCUCUUCUGUAUCAGCUUCCCAUGGUGACUCAGUCAGUCUCUCUCUCUCUCUCUGUCUCUCUCUCUCUCUCUAUGACUUUGACUGUUUGUCUGUCUCUCUUUCUGUCUUGCCACCUGUCUAUCUGUCUCCACCUCUCACUCUGCCUAUGCCUCUAUCUGUCUGUAUCUGUCUAUGAUUCUGUCUGUCUGUCUGUCUGUCUGUCUCUCUCUCUCUCUCUCUCUCUCUCUCUCUCUGCCUGCCUGUUAGUCUGUCUUUCUCUCUCUCUCUCUCUCUCUCUCUCUCUCUCUCUCUCUCUCUCUCUCUCUUUAUGACUCUGUCUGUCUGUCUCUCUUUGUCUAUGACUUUGUCUGUCUGUCUCUCUGUCUCUAUCUGUUUGUAUCUGUCUAUGAUUCUGUCUGUCUGUCUGUCUGUCUGUCUGUCUCUCUCUCUCUCUCUCUCUCUGUCUGCAUGUCUGUCUGUCUAUCUGGCUGCCUGUUAGUCUGUCUUUCUCUCUCUCUCUCUCUCUCUCUCUCUCUCUCUCUCACUCUCUCUCUCCUCCUUUGCUGAGCAGAGACGGCCACAUUCAUGAAGACACACAUGCGGAAGGAGGGAGGAGGCAGGAGGUGAUGGGUGAUGCAAAAAAUAUGAAAUUCCUUUGAGAGUAAAAAUACCACACUUCUAAUGAUUUUUUUUUCUCCAAAGAAAGAAUCUUGUCUUCAUUUUUAUUAUUUCUUUAUUUUAG